AUUGAACGCUGGCGGCAUGCUUUACACAUGCAAGUCGAACGGCAGCGCGGGCUUCGGCCUGGCGGCGAGUGGCGAACGGGUGAGUAAUACAUCGGAACGUGCCCAGUAGUGGGGGAUAGCUCGGCGAAAGCCGGAUUAAUACCGCAUACGACCUGAGGGUGAAAGCGGGGGAUCUUCGGACCUCGCGCUAUUGGAGCGGCCGAUGGCAGAUUAGCUAGUUGGUGGGGUAAAGGCCUACCAAGGCGACGAUCUGUAGCCGGUCUGAGAGGACGACCAGCCACACUGGGACUGAGACACGGCCCAGACUCCUACGGGAGGCAGCAGUGGGGAAUUUUGGACAAUGGGCGAAAGCCUGAUCCAGCAAUGCCGCGUGUGUGAUGAAGGCCUUCGGGUUGUAAAGCACUUUUGGCGGGAACGAAAAGGACUGUGCCAAUACCACGGUUCGAUGACGGUACCCGCAGAAUAAGCACCGGCUAACUACGU
rnacentral:rRNA from 1 species